AGGACGAACGCUGGCGGCGCGCUUAAUACAUGCAAGUCGAGCGAGAACCGGUCCUUCGGGACCGGGGAGAGCGGCGAACGGGUGAGUAACACGUGGGUAAUCUGCCCUCGGUACUGGGAUAGCCCGGGGAAACCCGGAUUAAUACCGGAUAGCCUUUCGAGCUCUCGGGCUCGUUAGAAAAGGUGGCUUCGGCUUCCGACUGAGGAUGAGCCCGCGGCGGAUUAGCUUGUUGGUGAGGUAACGGCUCACCAAGGCUUCGAUCCGUAGCUGGUCUGAGAGGACGAUCGAGCCACACUGGGACUGAGACACGGCCCAGACCUCCUACGGGAGG
rnacentral:rRNA from 1 species